UAGGUGCUAAAUAAAUGUGCAGU
rnacentral:piRNA from 1 species